CAGACCUGUAAUCGGAAAAGACUACCCGCUGAGUUUAAGCAUAUCACUAAGCGGAGGAGAAGAAACUAACCAGGA
rnacentral:rRNA from 1 species